UAAGUCCCCAGGGUCAAAAAGUGAUGCCCUCCUCGUGCUUGCACGAAAGGACGGGCAUUACCUUUUGACCCGCCCAAACAUGAGAACGCAGCGGUUUUCCGCGUAGUUCGAAUGUUUGCAGGAUUGCGGGAGCUGCUUGCAACGCAGCGGUUUACAACUUU
rfam:Roseburia sp. CAG:309 genomic scaffold, scf256